rnacentral:rRNA from 1 species
AUUGAACGCUGGCGGCAGGCCUAACACAUGCAAGUCGAGCGGGCGGCGGAUGGGUGAGGAAUGCCAGGGAAUUGCCCAGGCGAGGGGGAUAACAGUAAGAAACGACUGCUACUACAGACUACGAAUGGAUAGCCUAGGGGGGAUUAGCUGGUUGGGUAGGGACUGGCUCACCAAGGCGACGAUCCCUAGCUGGUCUGAGAGGAUGAUCAGCCACACUGGAACUGAGACACGGUCCAGACUCCUACGGGAGGCAGCAGUGGGGAAUAUUGCACAAUGGGGGAAACCCUGAUGCAGCCAUGCCGCGUGUGUGAAGAAGGCCUGCGGGUUGUAAAGCACUUUCAGCGAGGAGGCGUUACUCGCAGAAGAAGCACCGGCUAACUCCGUGCCAGCAGCCGCGGUAAUAC